rnacentral:tRNA from 1 species
AUUUAUAUAGUUUAAUAAAAAUAUUACAUUUUCACUGUAAAGAUAAUCCUUUAAUUUAUAAAUA